CAGUUACACAGAUGAUCAUACAAGUAUUUUGAAACAGGGUGAUAAUGUGAGAUGUAAUGAUAGCACAUGAAGGAAGGCUAACCAAGACCAGGGGCUCGGAAGGGGUGCCCAGAGGAAGUGAUAUUUUAAACUGAGCCUGGAAGAUGAAAAAGAGCUAUCCAAGUGGAGUUGGAGAAAUAGCUUUCCAGAUACAGGGCACAACAGAUUUCUAGAGGAAAUUCGACCCAGUUCCAUCUCGAUUUCCUUAUUUAAUCCUUCCAUUCCAUGGGUCUGAAAGCGGACACGGUGACGAGAAUAACCUGCAAGUUGCUCAUCAGCACCGAUUCCAGUAAGAACCACCUGUAACAGUUUACAGAAAUCCAUAUUUAUGAUAUAUGAUAAAGACAAAAGAAAAGCUUAAAAAAUUAUAAUCUCAAAAAUAACAUCUUCAGACAAAAAACACAUGGCAAGUCAUAAAGUAGUAAAAUAUGCCCAAUUUUU